GGUUGACCUCGGAUCAGGUAGGGAUACCCGCUGAACUUAAGCAUAUCAAUAAAGCGGA
rnacentral:rRNA from 1 species